AUGCACGCUGGCGGCGUGCCUAAUCCAUGCAAGUCGAGCGAACAGACGAGGAGCUUGCUCCUCUGACGUUAGCGGCGGACGGGUGAGUAACACGUGGAUAACCUACCUAUAAGACUGGGAUAACUUCGGGAAACCGGAGCUAAUACCGGAUAAUAUAUUGAACCGCAUGGUUCAAUAGUGAAAGAUGGUUUUGCUGUCACUUAUAGAUGGAUCCGCGCCGCAUUAGCUAGUUGGUAAGGUAACGGCUUACCAAGGCAACGAUGCGUAGCCGACCUGAGAGGGUGAUCGGCCACACUGGAACUGAGACACGGUCCAGACUCCUACGGGAGGCAGCAGUAGGGAAUCUUCCGCAAUGGGCGAAAGCCUGACGGAGCAACGCCGCGUGAGUGAUGAAGGUCUUCGGAUCGUAAAACUCUGUUAUUAGGGAAGAACAAAUGUGUAAGUAACUAUGCACGUCUUGACGGUACCUAAUCAGAAAGCCACGGCUAACUACGUG
rnacentral:rRNA from 1 species